rnacentral:rRNA from 1 species
UACAGAGGGUGCGAGCGUUAAUCGGAAUUACUGGGCGUAAAGCGUGCGUAGACGGUUAUGUAAGUCGGAUGUGAAAGCCCCGGGCUUAACCUGGGAAUGGCAUUCGAGACUGCAUAGCUAGGAUGCGGAAGAGGGAAGUGGAAUUUCCGGUGUAGCGGUGAAAUGCGUAGAUAUCGGAAGGAACACCAGUGGCGAAAGCGGCUUCCUGGUCCAGCACCGACGUUCAGGCACGAAAGCGUGGGGAGCAAACAGG